rnacentral:ncRNA from 12 species
AAUCCGAGGGGCGCUGCAGGGCUGUCGUUCGACAGUUUCAGGCUCGGAUUUCUCAAACGGCGCUCAUCCAAC